GCGGCAAAAGCUCAAAUUUGAAAUCUGGUACCUUCGGUGCCCGAGUUGUAAUUUGGAGAGGGCAACUUUGGGGCCGUUCCUUGUCUAUGUUCCUUGGAACAGGACGUCAUAGAGGGUGAGAAUCCCGUGUGGCGAGGAGUGCGGUUCUUUGUAAAGUGCCUUCGAAGAGUCGAGUUGUUUGGGAAUGCAGCUCUAAGUGGGUGGUAAAUUCCAUCUAAAGCUAAAUAUUGGCGAGAGACCGAUAGCGAACAAGUACAGUGAUGGAAAGAUGAAAAGAACUUUGAAAAGAGAGUGAAAAAGUACGUGAAAUUGUUGAAAGGGAAGGGCAUUUGAUCAGACAUGGUGUUUUGUGCCCUCUGCUCCUUGUGGGUAGGGGAAUCUCGCAUUUCACUGGGCCAGCAUCAGUUUUGGUGGCAGGAUAAAUCCAUAGGAAUGUAGCUUGCCUCGGUAAGUAUUAUAGCCUGUGGGAAUACUGCCAGCUGGGACUGAGGACUGCGACGUAAGUCAAGGAUGCUGGCAUAAUGGUUAUAUGCCGC
rnacentral:rRNA from 1 species